GGCAACGUGGCUGAGUGGUUAAAGCGUACGACUAGAAAUACAUCUUGCAAUCGUAUCCCUUCGGGGUCACAGGUUCGAGUCCUGUCGUUGUCG